rnacentral:rRNA from 1 species
UACGAAGGGGGCUAGCGUUGCUCGGAAUCACUGGGCGUAAAGGGGGCGUAGGCGGGGCUUUAAGUCAGGGGGGAAAUCCUGGAGCUCAACUCCAGAACUGCCUUUGAUACUGAAGAUCUUGAGUUCGGGAGAGGUGAGUGGAACUGCGAGUGUAGAGGUGAAAUUCGUAGAUAUUCGCAAGAACACCAGUGGCGAAGGCGGCUCACUGGCCCGAUACUGACGCUGAGGCACGAAAGCGUGGGGAGCAAACAGG